GAAAGCCGGAUGCGGGAAAACUGCACGUCCGGUUUGAUGAGCGGGGAGAGGAAACGGAACGCGCAACAAGCGCAUCACCGCGCCUCUCCUCGACUCUACUCAAAC
rfam:Bradyrhizobium sp. NAS80.1 Bradyrhizobium_NAS_80.1_rep_c4307, whole genome shotgun sequence.